rnacentral:rRNA from 1 species
GUAGUUAGCCGGGGCUUCCUCCUUGACUACCGUCACUUUCUUCGUUGCCAAGGACAGAGGUUUACAACCCGAAAGCCUUCUUCCCUCACGCGGCGUUGCUGGGUCAGGCUUGCGCCCAUUGCCCAAUAUUCCCCACUGCUGCCUCCCGCAGGAGUCUGGACCGUAUCUCAGUUCCAGUGUGGCCGAUCAGCCUCUCAGCUCGGCUACCCAUCGUCGACUUGGUGGGCUGUUACUCCGCCAACUAUCUAAUGGGACGCGAACCCCUCUUAUACCGGAUUGCUCCUUUGACCUCAUCCCGAUGCCGGGUCGUGGUCUUAUGCGGUAUUAGCAACCGUUUCCGGUUGUUAUCCCCUGUACAAGGCAGGUUGUUCACGCGUUACUCACCCGUUCGCCACUAAGUUAUCAACCGAAAUCAAUAACUCCGUUCGACUUGCAUGUGUUAGGCACGCCGCCAAGCGUCGUCUCGUAGCGACUACGAUACUAACUAACUACGUACUACGUAGACGGACGGUACGGACGGACGGACGGACGACG